UUAAUCGGCCUGGAUUCGAGGCUAGUCCUGGCAUAGAUAGUAAAGGAAAGGGAUUGGAAACGCAUUACGUCAUAUGUCACCAUCCUACUUACGGAUUGUAGCCUCGAUUACAGGCCCUCCAUUGCGGCGUAAAUCGAAGCCACAUGGUAUAAUUAUGAGAGUAUCUCAAGUUGGAGCCCUAAGCAUGUCUAAGCUCAUACUGUGGACAGUGUAGUUAAAGGAUAAGGGCUUCAUGAUGGCAUCCAUAUCAGUAAAAAAAGCUAGAUCUAUUUUAGUUACAUAAUUAUAAACACGACAACAAUGUAUUUAUUAUCUUACUAAACUCCCUUUGUGAGUCUUGACACUAAUCAUAAGUGUAAUACUGUACUCUAAGGGAUGUCAAUAAAUUAUAUUAUAUAAUGUUUAAAGUAAGUGGUUGCAAAACUACAGUGUAUACACACAAGCAAAAAUAAACAUGUAUAUAAUUAUGUUAGCCUCGAUCCCAGGCCGAGUUUUCGCUUUUAUAACGGUUAGGCGAACAACUGGGCCUGGUACUAGUUGUCUGCGCAUGCGUCAGUCGUUUGUCAGAUUCUGACGAAUGGAUAUUCUCGUUCACUUUCGUGACAUUUAUAUUCGUGUACUAUCGUGUACUAGAAGUCAGUUCCCGUUUUAUCAUUAUUGGAAUGGCUCUUAGCUGAAGCUUCUCUCUUCUCUGAAGCUUAGAAAACAUUAUUCUGAAGACUGAACAACAAGGGAAAAGGUAUAAAGCUUUGUCAAGCUUGUUAAGGUCAGAUAUUUUUGUGUGGGCCCUAUGCUAUCAUGUCAAGUCGUGUUCAUGUUUGGUAUUAAAAGAUCUAUAGUAUCAUCAUUAAUAUGGUGGAUCAAGUGAAGAGUGUGAGCUAGAGAACUUGGUGCUGCCAUCAUCAGCUCGUCGACAAUGACACUAUAACCUGUUUAAUACGAGAAAUUUAAUAUGUACAUGUAUACAGUAGAUCUACACGUAUUUUGAAUGUCUACUUCUCUGUACAGGAGCAAUGGCUACUAUCCAGCUAUCCCAACAUUGUUCCUCUUGGCCAUACUAACGGACAAGACUGGACAGUUUAAGGACUGGAGUAUGACCUGAUCGUUUGAGUGUUGCUGGGUAGCUCAGAGGCAUCAAGAGAAUCUACGUUUUCUCAAGCAAAGUUUAACUGAGUUACAAGUUGGGGCCUAGAAUCAGAGAAGUCCAGCAGCCUGCUAAAUCGUUGAAACGUAAUUUGAAGGCAUUCAAUCAUCUUGAAGUUGCCCUGGGUCACUGUAAUCGUGCUGCAGCACAACUGGCAACUCCCCAGGCCCUUGUGAAGCAGCUCCCUAUGUGCAUCUUUUGUGUACUCACUCUGUGCAUUUUCUGUGUACAAAUUUCGAUUAUUGAUUUAUUAAAUAUC